rnacentral:tRNA from 1 species
GCAUUCUUAGCUCAGUUGGAUAGAGCAACAACCUUCUAAGUUGAGGGUCACAGGUUCAAAUCCUGUUGGAUGCGU